UGUGUACUCCCUCCGUUCCAAAAUACUUGACUUCCAUUUGUCCAAAAAUGGAUGUACCUAUAUACUAAAACAUGUCUAGAUACAUAUAUAUCUUCACAAAUAGAAGGCAUGUAUUGUGCAACGGAGGGACUAGAAU
rfam:Triticum aestivum genome assembly, contig: Triticum_aestivum_CS42_TGACv1_scaffold_500681_6BL